CAGCCGCGGCGCCGCCGGGCACCACGGGCAGCGUAGUCCGGGCCGGGGGAGGAGGAACGAGCGCCAGGAGGAGGAGGAGGAGGAGGUGAUGAACCGACGAGCACAUGGAGUUCCAGAUACUGAUCAUCAGAGAAUCCACGUGUGGCAAAAAGGAUGGAUAAUCUUCUGGCUUGGCUCCUGGUGGAGCCUGCAUGUGGUUGUUUCAGGCUAAUGUAAAAAAAGGGUACAGCAUUUAUUCUGCCAGGGCAUUACAUGUAAUGUUUUAUUUAAUUGAUAUAUCUGUGGUAACAGUCCUAUUACCUUCUUUCUAAUUGGCGUCACUGUGCGUAGCAGAUCAUGCCAAGAAAAUCCUUGUUUUUUAAGUCAGAAAUUAAACUGUUAGUGCUGAGAUUUGGUAAACAAAGUUAGGCUCUGGUCACAGAAAUUUGCAGGCUCUAUGUACACCUUGAGUUACAUGCUGCAGAACCCACUCAAGUAAUUUAAGUACCAUGGUAGGUGUAGGCCUAGCUGGUUAGGAUUCUGAAAAACAGCUGAAUGAUAAUACUUAAUCAAAUACGACUGCAGGGGCUGCAGCCUGCCAAGUUAAAAGAUUUCAUUUUAAAACAAGGUAAACCAUUGUGUCUCCUUGAUUAAAGGCAUUAAAGUUUAGUAAGAGGUAUGUGGCCUUAUAGUGUUCUUACACAUUGGUUUGCAUUGGAAGGGACCUCAAAGAUCAUCUAAUCCUUGGAAAUACCCCUGUGGGCAGGGAUGCCACCCGCUAGAUCAGGUUGCUCAGGACAUUGUCUAACCUGGCCUUAAACAUUGUCAGGGAUGGGGCAUCCACAACUUCUCUGGGCAACCUGUUCCAGUGUCUCACCACCCUCAUGGGAACCAUAAACACUGUACAUGAGUCAUAAAUACAAGUGCUGUGGGCCUGGGAUGGCCCAGCAGAGGAUGAAAUACUGAUACUGUAAACAAAGUUUGGUGUCUUGGAUUUAUCUUCCCAAUCCUAUUUCCCACCCUCCCUAGAUAAGUUUGGUGCACAGGAUGCAAAUUCAAGUCAUGGCAUCAUUGCUUCCUCUCCACGGAGAAGGAUGUUCAAGUUUCACCUGAAGCUACAAAUCAUUGCAGUCUUCAGCUGUUUCAUGUUCACACUGAUAAGUCUGUCCUGUGCCAGUGUUGGGAACACAGGUGAAGAUGCUUAGGAUGAGGGAGCAUCAUCCCGAGUGGAGAGGAGGGGUCUUUAAUGGCCUGUGAACCUGUCUGUAUUGGAGUGAACUGCCAAGGACUCCGACAGUCUCAAAUGCUGCUGCAUUGGGUGGCAACUGGCAGAUUUGGAAGGCUCCAUGUGAGCUUUUCUAUUCAGUCCCCUUCCACAGGGACAAUUUAACUGUGGAGGUGUGGACUGGAAUUUUUGGCAGUUACCAUUAUCAGUGAUAAUGAUAAAUUCUCUGUUGGCUCUCCAUUUGUGUCCUGCCUCAGCAAUUGCACUUAGCUUGCAGGACAUUGUGCGCUUGGAGUAACAUGCAAUUGUAGGAAAGAUCAACACGGAAAAGCAGAAUCCUGAGGCUGAGCUCAACCCGAUCUUGACUUGCAGAGUGGUAUUAGUCAUAAUUUCAAAAAUGUCAAAGGAGCCACAACUGAGCAUUUCUUCUGUUCCCACCUGUGCUUUGGGUUGUGAAAGAAUAACAUUAGUACAUAGAGACCUUGACUUCCUCUUGGAUGCAUCUGGAAGAUUUUAUUAGGCAGUCCACUGUGCCUGUGAUCUGUCUGAGAGCAGCUGAUGAUGAGCAUCACCAAGAUAUUGCACUGGGCUGCUGAUAAUUUUCUGUCUUUCCAACGACUUGAAAAACUGGAUUCAUGGAACAUCACUCUCACAAACCACAGCCUCACCAUGGGGACAUCAGGGCAACCACAGCUGUACUAAGUAUCUUCACCAGCAAUCUGUCACCCUCUGACAAAUCUUUUCUUCUUGAAGACCAGAAAGAUUGUUAUUGAGCCUUCCACAAAGCUGAAAUAAUGCUGUGUGUUAAAAAAAUGUUAACAAUUUGAAGAAGUUAUAAAAAUUUAUAAGUUGGCUGAAUAGUUUGGAAAUUUCUGCAUAUUUUAAUAUAAAUAGGUGCUAGCAGCAUGUGAAGCCGAGAGCAGUGAAAACCCAAAGGAGUACUGCACACACUGAAGAGGUCACCAGGAGCUGUUGUGCAGGGUAUAUUCCUUUCCUGCUGCAGCUCUUGGUCGUUCCAUCCAGCAUGGAUAAAAAGGCUGCACAGCGCUCAGUUUCUGGAAGAUCUCUCUCUGGGAGAAGGAGGGCUGCUGUGAGUCUUAUUUCACUGUGAUCAAGUUAUUCCUCCCAGACAGUGUGAAAGACAAAUUGGGGAGUUUUGGAUACCAUCUCUUGAAGAGAAUGAAUCUGGAUUCAAUGCAGCUGGCUGCAGAAAGAAUUACAGAAGUACUGAUUUAAUUGACUCCAUGGAUUUGCAACCAGCAGUUCAGCAGCUGCUUCAUGAGCCAUCCUUGCAGGAGGGGAACGUCAGAGGGAUGGAUUUCUUUAACUGGGAAGAUAUGACAGGUUGUGAUAUUGGACUGCAGUGAAGCUCCACCUGUGCUGUUCUACCCUUCAUGAGUGAGCAGUGCUGGGCAGUGCAGCAGGCAUGCUCCUGCCCUUUUCAGGAUGAUGGUAUCUCUAGCCCUGUCUGCUGGGUUCUUCCUGCUUUCGUGCUGAAGAGCUGUGUGGGAGAAGGUGGCCAGGCAUAUAGUGUUGUAACAACCUUCUACUGAUGGAGGCGCAAUGCUGGUGUGUGCUGGCAACACACCCAGCAGUGGAUGCAGUGAUACAAGUACUUUGGGCAGCACAGAGGAAGUGCCUGCAGAAUCCAGCAUGGAGCAGAGCUCCUGAGAGAGAGAGGGCAGCAGUGAGGAGCUGUGUUUGCUGGAGAAAACGUUUGAAGGCGUGGAGAACACUUGUCCAGUCAUAACUGAAACUAUACAAGAUGCACAGGCCUGAAAUGUCACCUUAAGUUUCUGUUGCUCUCUGAUGUGGAUCCUGUCUUCUAGCAAACUUUAUGGACAACAGCUUUUGUUACAAGGAGAGAUGGUUUGAUCCUCUCCUUAAUGCAAACCCCACACCUUCACCUAGAUUCCUUCCUGGGCAGCUGCAGUGGAUCUGAACACCAAGGGAAUUUGACCCACUGGAUUCCUUUCCUUUCUCUGCAGUUGAAUGAAAAGUGUGUGUCUUUUGAAGAACAGCAACUGAAAGAAAUAUUGAUGACUACCAGAGCAUCUACAGAAAAGGAUAAGAAAAUUACUACGACAGUGGAGACAAAGGGGCUUUCUUAACUCUUUCUUGUAGGUUGUAUAUAUUAAUAGAAACAAGUAAAGUUUUGUAUUUUUUAAGAGAAACACACAAGGUUUUGAACUGUAUUGUUUUAAUUGCAGCUAACUGAAUGAAUUAAGUGGAAAAUUGCACACAGUACUUUGAUUGUCUAACUCUCUGUAUGUGAGGCUUUGGGAACAGUUUGUUAUUAUAAAAGAAUAGCACUAACAAGAAAACAGCCAGCAUGUAAUUGCUGGGUUGAGGGGCAGUUUGGGGAAGGCUGAUACUUAUUUAUAAAUUAUUAAAUAAAAGCACAUAAUAAGUGGAUCAUCUCUCACUGCCUCCACACUGCAUACAUUACUCAUCUUCCUAAAUUUCAUCUUUUUGUACUCCCUUAGUCCAUUGCUUCUUAUAACCAGUGCAGGCAUCAAAACCACCCACGUCCAGGAAAGGAGAUGCCUGUGCAUUUGUUAUGAUGGCAGUUUUGGUUAUGGGACUCAUCUAAGAAUAUGAACCUUCAGUUCAAGGACAGAAAUUUUGACUGGACUUUUAAAGGUUGUUUUACGUGCCUAAAUACACACGAGCACCUGGGACUCUUUUCAGGUAGCUUAAACUCUGGCCAGUGUUUCAACUUGACUAGGUACCUUUGCUGAUUUACAGCCAGCCUCUACCCUAAAUGGAAGGACUGAAGAGCAAUUUGGGCAUUAAAUUUACCAAGGUUCUCAAAAACACAUUGGUUAUGUAAUUCCCAUCAAUUUUGGUAAGAAAGAGGUAACUUCUGAUUAUCUUGUAUUGUUCUCACUGCUCACUAGUGCCUUACUACCUUAGGAAACACAGCCACUUGCAAGACACAGAGAGGAGGUCGGUGGUGGUUGGGCUCACCAAGAAGGUAGAACAGUAUUUCAUCCUCAAUGUUUUUGACUAUUUCAGCCCUCCUGGAUGAUGGAGUUGCCAUUCGUUCCUCCGGCAUAAAUUUGAGGGCUGUCUUCUAGGAAAGCAAGGUGUCUCUGUUUCAGAGGACCCAGUUGCUAACCGGUUGCACUGACACAUAAGCAGUUCUUCACAUGCCUAUGUAACGAGGGGGUGGGUAAUGUCCUGGCCUCACAAGUGAGGUGCAUGUCCUACAGACUGAGGGAGCAUCAUCUGGGGAUGGAAAGGUGUGCCAGCACCUGGAUAGCUGGCUCUGCUGGACACAUCUUUGAGCUUGCUGUGCUGCUAUAUACUAUGACAUUCGUGCUGUAUAAACAAACCACACUGUUAAACCACUUAAACAGUGUUUAUGCAACUUUAAAAUGGUAGAGGCUUAAUUUUUUACUUCAUCCGCAGGCUUAUUAAAACUUAUGUGUCCACACUGAAAUGGUGUGAAAAGAUUAAAUUGCUAACCCUGGCUACCAGCCUAGCUGAUGUGAGACUGUUGCACAGAAGGUGCCUGAGAGGUGGAACUGGGCAGAGUUUAGCUUUGCAUAGCUGUUGCCAAAGAGUUGCUUGGUAUCCCUCUCACUGUUUUUUGAAGUCCAAAAAUAUUUUCCCCCAAAUAAUAACCUAUUUUUUCUGCAAGAGAACACAACUGCAUCUAUGAAAGGUCUUGGCUUUUACAGUAAGUCUGGUUUGUAUAGUUUCCUCUCUAUAUGUAUGUUGUCUGCAGAAUUACCAACAGUCAUAAUGAAAAACACAGUUUUGUUACAGGAGCUUUCAACAGUGGUUUUUAGUAAUUUAGAAAAUAUUGGAACUACUUCCAACAAAUGAAAAAAAUCGAAACAGCUUUGAAAAUGUUGAUACACUUAGGGAAAUAAAUCUUUGGUUUUAGCCCUGCUCUGUUAUUCUCUCUCUGAUACUAAAACCAAUAUAAAGCACUACUGAUUUCAAUCAGCUCAACAGGGGAUACUGUAUGGCUUCCACCCCACUGUUCCCUGGGUUGGGGGACUAAAUCUCAGCUGU